rnacentral:rRNA from 1 species
GAGUUUGAUCUUGGCUCAGAACGAACGCUGGCGGCAUGCCUAACACAUGCAAGUCGAACGAUCCCUUCGGGGAUAGUGGCGCACGGGUGCGUAACGCGUGGGAACCUGCCCUUAGGUUCGGAAUAACUCCCCGAAAGGGGUGCUAAUACCGGAUAAUGUCUUCGGACCAAAGAUUUAUCGCCUUUGGAUGGGCCCGCGUUGGAUUAGCUAGUUGGUGGGGUAAAGGCCUACCAAGGCGACGAUCCAUAGCUGGUCUUAGAGGAUGAUCAGCCACACUGGGACUGAGACACGGCCCAGACUCCUACGGGAGGCAGCAGUGGGGAAUAUUGGACAGUGGGCGAAAGCCUGAUCCAGCAAUGCCGCGUGAGUGAUGAAGGCCCUAGGGUUGUAAAGCUCUUUUACCAGGGAUGAUAAUGACAGUACCUGGAGGAUAAGCUCCGGCUAACUCCGUGCCAGCAGCCGCCGUAAC